AAGUGAACUCCGCGACCGAGAAGCAUAGUACAUCGGAGCUUCCGCAAAAUUGUCAACCACAGCAACGCUCGCAACAGCUUGAAUUAAUCACAUCGGUGUAAUCGGGGUCGAGGUAAAAACAACGAGGUAAAAUGGUCUACAAGAACUUUGACAGCUCCAUCGUGAAGGGGCCUUACCAGGAAGUGAGGAAAGGCCAGGAGCAAGUGCGGCAGCAGUCUUCGCAGGAGCUGCCGAAAAAACCGGCAGCUAACGAAAAGUACGGCGCUUGGGGUUCGAUUUAUAAGGAUAAACAAAAUUUCGUCAACAUGCACUGCUGCUAAUCGGAACGAAUCGCAUACAGCGAUGGAGCUCGUGUUCGCCGCCGCAAUACUGAGUAAAUUAACGUCAGUAUUAGUACGUAAAACGGUACAGUGACGGACGCGAUCGCAAGAGUGGAAUUUUACGCUCGUACUUACUAACCCAGCAUCAUAAAAUCCGUAUAUAAUAUGAGUUACUUUUCAACAUACCUACGUUUAAUAAUCCAAUACGUUAACAAUAUGACACUUGUAUCGUCGUAAACCUAUAAUUGAAGCGUGGAAGCAUCGAUUGACAUAUCCGAGUUAUACGAUGAAGGAUUAUACAUACAAUUUAGCCUACGUCGUACUCCUGGGCAGAUUUUAAACACCUGUACAUGUAUCUUUUUAUUACAUUAAUUUAAGACUUUCUUUAUACAUAUGGACUAACAAAUUACCGUAUAAAGGUAAUGUGAUAUUGUCUCUUGCGAAUAGUGGAAAAACAAAAAGAAAACGAAAGUAAAUAAAUUAUUACAAUUGUCAUUUAUAAUAUUAUGCCUGAUAUUUUUUGGAAAAAAAUUAAAGGAACAUUUUUGUAUUAUUUUUAGCCGUCACUCUUAGCUGUGGCUUAUGUCUUGAAAAUGUUCGUCAACUUCGUUUCGAUAAGCUAAAUUUUCGUUUCACACUUUCGUUAAAUGUUCAGAGUCCUCGAUUCCCACUUAUGAAGAUUUCGGAGAAAUCGGAAACCCUUGGGAAUCGAGAAUGCAAAUACCUGCAAGCCGCAGCGUUUAUUCCAGUUUGUGGAACUGGUUUCCUCUCCGCUGCUUGUGCGUAUUAAAUAACUAUUCCAAGAGACAGUAACACGCGAGCGCGUGCACUGUGGGUGACAAUAAAACAAAUAUAAAAGCUUA